rnacentral:rRNA from 1 species
UACGUAGGGACCAAGCGUUGUUCGGAUUUACUGGGCGUAAAGGGCGCGUAGGCGGCAAUUCAAGUCAGUUGUGAAAUCUCCGAGCUUAACUCGGAACGGUCAACUGAUACUGCUUUGCUAGAGUACAGAAGGGGCAAUCGGAAUUCUUGGUGUAGCGGUGAAAUGCGUAGAUAUCAAGGGGAACACCUGAGGUGAAGACGGGUUGCUGGGCUGAUACUGACGCUGAGGCGCGAAAGCUAGGGUAGCAAACGGG